UUAUUGUUUUGUUAGGGGCUAUGGCGCUGCAACAUUCAACAGUCUAAUUGAAAGCCCAAAGGUUAUUACUCAAUUAGGCGACCAAUUCCCAUUAUACUCCCAAAACCAAAAUAAACUUGCAAAUUCAAAGAACGAGAUUGAGAGCUCCUGCAAAAGAAAAGCAUAAACGCGCCUAUCCUACCGUCCUUCACCAAUCUCCUCCAUUUACUUUCGUCUCCAGCACUAAUUUUCCCGCCGCCUCCAAACCUCCCGUUGACGAUGUGUGUUCCGCCGCUCCCAUCAAUUCCGAGUUGGGUUUUUUGUUCAGCUGAGUUGUGUUGGUGUUGUCUGCUUUACAUGCUGCAAUCUGGUUCAAUUAGAAGAAUGGGGCAUACACCAAAUUAGCAAUAGCAGAGCUCUUACUAAGUUACUAUUAUGGUUUCCAUGAGGGUGGUUUCAAGAUAUGUAAUAAGUAAUGCUUACAAAAGGCCAAACAGAAGGGCACAUUUUUCUUCCCAUUGAGCUUUCUCCGACGGUCAUGGCUAGGAAAUUCAAUCAAGAGAUCUGCUUUCUUUGACUUGCAGGACAUGGUUGAUACUCUUCACAAGCAGGGCCACAGGGAGUAAGAGAGAGAAAAGGGGGGAAAAAGAAAACCGAAUGGAGUAAGGCAUGGUUGAACUCUUCACACGAGCGUUUCUACUUAUUCCGGUCCAGAAUCUAGACUAUUAACACACUGGAAUAUAUAAAUUCUAGUGUAAGGUCUAAAUUUAAUCUUUCUAUUUUGUUUAGUUAAUUUUUGUUACUCUUAUGCAGAUCUUUCUUUAAAUUCUAGUGUAAGUUAUAAAUUUGCUCUAAUUUUCUAAUCGGUGUUCACCGCACUAACUCUAACUUUCUUAUAGUUACACUAACUAUUUAUUUCAUUCAACCUUUUGACAUUGAUACCGUGAAAA